CCUACGGGAGGCAGCAGUAGGGAAUCUUCCGCAAUGGACGAAAGUCUGACGGAGCAACGCCGCGUGAACGAUGAAGGCCUUCGGGUCGUAAAGUUCUGUUGUUAGGGAAGAACAAGUGCUAGUUGAAUAAGCUGGCACCUUGACGGUACCUAACCAGAAAGCCACGGCUAACUACGUGCCAGCAGCCGCGGUAAUACGUAGGUGGCAAGCGUUGUCCGGAAUUAUUGGGCGUAAAGCGCGCGCAGGCGGUUUCUUAAGUCUGAUGUGAAAGCCCCCGGCUCAACCGGGGAGGGUCAUUGGAAACUGGGAAACUUGAGUGCAGAAGAGGAAAGUGGAAUUCCAAGUGUAGCGGUGAAAUGCGUAGAGAUUUGGAGGAACACCAGUGGCGAAGGCGACUUUCUGGUCUGUAACUGACGCUGAGGCGCGAAAGCGUGGGGAGCAAACAGGAUUAGAUACCCUGGUAGUCCACGCUGUAAACGAUGAGUGCUAAGUGUUAGAGGGUUUCCGCCUUUAGUGCUGAAGUUAACGCAUUAAGCACUCCGCCUGGGGAUACGGUCGCAAGACUGAAACUCAAAUGAAUUGACGG
rnacentral:rRNA from 1 species